GUCGCAAAAUCUCUGUGUUUACGUGAAUGGCUAAAGCAUGUUUUACACUGCGUAAAUUUCAAAUUUUUAUUUCGAUUUAUGGCACGAUUUCACGAAAAACGCUCAAAUAUACACGACACGUUUUAAACCUGAAAUGUACUAGAAGAUAAAAACAAAUUUUUCAAAUAACGUAAAUACAUACAGAAGGCGUUACACGUUAGAAAUUUCCACAUAAUCAAAGGAAUGUUAUGAUGAAAAGGGAUUCAUGUUUCGAAAUCUCUUCCAAGGUCACUCAUUGACGCCAAAUACAUACAUACCAUUUCAACGAAUCUUUAUUUUCAUUGAUGUGUUUACUGCAUGGCCCUUUGUACGAAAAAGAUAUUGGAAUGUAGCAUGUCACCUUCGAUGACUAAAAUUAUGAAGCAAAUAUAUUUAUAAAUCUAUUGUAUGAAUAAAACACAUAAAAUCAAAA
rnacentral:lncRNA from 1 species